AUUGAACGCUGGCGGCAGGCCUAACACAUGCAAGUCGAGCGGAUGAAGGGAGCUUGCUCCUGGAUUCAGCGGCGGACGGGUGAGUAAUGCCUAGGAAUCUGCCUGGUAGUGGGGGAUAACGUCCGGAAACGGGCGCUAAUACCGCAUACGUCCUGAGGGAGAAAGUGGGGGAUCUUCGGACCUCACGCUAUCAGAUGAGCCUAGGUCGGAUUAGCUAGUUGGUGGGGUAAAGGCCUACCAAGGCGACGAUCCGUAACUGGUCUGAGAGGAUGAUCAGUCACACUGGAACUGAGACACGGUCCAGACUCCUAAGGGAGGCAGCAGUGGGGAAUAUUGGACAAUGGGCGAAAGCCUGAUCAAGCCACGCCGCGUGUGUGAAGAAGGUCUUCGGAUUGUAAAGCACUGUUAGUUGGGAGGUAGUGCAGUAAGUUAAUCCCUUGCUGUUUUGACGUUACCAACAGAAUAAGCACCGGCUAACUUCGUG
rnacentral:rRNA from 1 species